GAUGAACGCUGGCGGCGUGCUUAACACAUGCAAGUCGAACGGUGAAAGCGGAGCUUGCUCUGCUGGAUCAGUGGCGAACGGGUGAGUGACACGUGAGCAAUCUGCCCCUGACUCUGGGAUAAGCGCUGGAAACGGCGUCUAAUACCGGAUACGAGCUGCGAAGGCAUCUUCAGCAGCUGGAAAGAACUUCGGUCAGGGAUGAGCUCGCGGCCUAUCAGCUAGUUGGUGAGGUAACGGCUCACCAAGGCGUCGACGGGUAGCCGGCCUGAGAGGGUGACCGGCCACACUGGGACUGAGACACGGCCCAGACUCCUACGGGAGGCAGCAGUGGGGAAUAUUGCACAAUGGGCGAAAGCCUGAUGCAGCAACGCCGCGUGAGGGACGACGGCCUUCGGGUUGUAAACCUCUUUUAGCAGGGAAGAAGCGAAAGUGACGGUACCUGCAGAAAAAGCACCGGCUAACUACGUGCCAGCAGCCGCCGCCG
rnacentral:rRNA from 1 species